AUGACCCUCACCUUAGAAUUAUUUUUAAGAAAAUUCCACGAUACAGGGAAGAUUAGUAUGGCCCCUGUGCAAGGAUGACAUGGAAAUUCAUGAAGCAUUCCAUAUUUUU
rfam:Otolemur garnettii contig016519, whole genome shotgun sequence.